GGAGUUAGCCGGUGCUUCUUCUGCGAGUAACGUCACAGAUGUAAGGUAUUAACUUACACCCUUUCCUCCUCGCUGAAAGUGCUUUACAACCCGAAGGCCUUCUUCACACACGCGGCAUGGCUGCAUCAGGGUUUCCCCCAUUGUGCAAUAUUCCCCACUGCUGCCUCCCGUAGGAGUCUGGGCCGUGUCUCAGUCCCAGUGUGGCUGAUCAUCCUCUCAGACCAGCUAGGGAUCGUCGCCUAGGUGAGCCUUUACCUCACCUACUAGCUAAUCCCACCUGGGCUUAUCCAUCAGCGCAAGGCCCGAAGGUCCCCUGCUUUCCCCCGUAGGGCGUAUGCGGUAUUAGCAGUCGUUUCCAACUGUUAUCCCCCACAAAUGGGCAAAUUCCCAGGCAUUACUCACCCGUCCGCCGCUCGUCAUCUUCAAAAGCAAGCUUUUGAAAUGUUACCGCUCGACUUGCAUGUGUUAGGCCUGCCGCCAGCGUUCAAUCUGAGCCAUGAUCAAAACUCUGA
rnacentral:rRNA from 1 species